rnacentral:rRNA from 1 species
UACGUAGGGGCAAGCGUUGUCCGGAAUUAUUGGGCGUAAAGGGCACGCAGGCGGUCCUUUAAGUCUGAUGUGAAAUCUUGCGGCUUAACCGCAAGCUGUCAUUGGAAACUGAAGGACUUGAGUGCAGAAGAGGAGAGUGGAAUUCCACGUGUAGCGGUGAAAUGCGUAGAGAUGUGGAGGAACACCAGUGGCGAAGGCGACUUACUGGGCCGUAACUGACGUUGAUGCGCGAAAGCGUGGGGAGCGAACAGGAUUAGAUACCCU